rnacentral:rRNA from 1 species
CCACCUUUGACAUGUACGGAAUUCGCCAGAGAUGGCCUUAGUGCUCGAAAGAGAACCGUAACACAGGUGCUGCAUGGCUGUCGUCAGCUCGUGUCGUAAGAUGUUGGGUUAAGUCCCGCAACGAGCGCAACCCUUGUCAUUAGUUGCUACAUUCAGUUGGGCACUCUAAUGAGACUGCCGGUGACAAACCGGAGGAAGGUGGGGAUGACGUCAAGUCCUCAUGGCCCUUAUAGGUGGGGCUACACACGUCACACAAUGGCUGGUACAAAGGGUUGCCAACCCGCGAGGGGGAGCUAAUCCCAUAAAACCAGUCGUAGUCCGGAUCGCAGUCUGCAACUCGACUGCGUGAAGUCGGAAUCGCUAGUAAUCGUGGAUCAGCAAUGUCACGGUGAAUACGUUCCC